rnacentral:rRNA from 1 species
AUACGUAGGGGACGAGCGUUGUCCGGAAUGAUUGGGCGUAAAGGGCGCGUAGGCGGCCCGGUAAGUCUGGAGUGAAAGUCCUGCUUUUAAGGUGGGAAUUGCUUUGGAUACUGUCGGGCUUGAGUGCAGGAGAGGUAAGUGGAAUUCCCAGUGUAGCGGUGAAAUGCGUAGAGAUUGGGAGGAACACCAGUGGCGAAGGCGACUUACUGGACUGUAACUGACGCUGAGGCGCGAAAGCCAGGGGGGCGAACAGGAUUAGAUACCCCGGUAGUCCUGGCCGUAAACGAUGAAUGCUAGGUGUGGGUGUCGAGAGGCAUCCGUGCCGGAGUUAACGCGAUAAGCAUUCCGCCUGGGGAGUACGGCCGCAAGGUUGAAACUCAAAUGAAUUGACGGGG